GCGGGCUUCUUCAAGGAGAGGCAACAGGUUUCCACCCUGCCAAGGCGAGUUCGAUUCUCGCAGUCCGCUCCA
rnacentral:tRNA from 1 species